rnacentral:rRNA from 1 species
CCGUAGGUGAACCUGCGGAAGGAUCAUUAAUGAUUGGUGGCUGUUGCUGACUAGUGUUUCUAGUAUGUGCACGCCACACCUUCAAUCCCACUUACACCUGUGCACCUUCUGUAGUACUCACUUGUGGACGCAGACGUGGAAGUGUUCACUGACUCUCCCACUUGCUGAAGCAGUAUAUUACGUUUUUUACACCCCCCCCAGAGUCCUUGAAAGGAUAUUUUAUUUCUUAUGAUAAAAACAACUUUCAACAACGGAUCUCUUGGCUCUCGCCUCGAUGAAGAACGUAGCGAAUUUCGAUAUGUAAUGUGAAAUGCCGAAUUCAGUGAAUCAUCGAAUCUUUGAACGCCCCCUGCGCUCUUUGGUAUUCCGAAGAGCCUGCCCGUUUGAGUGUCAAGAAUCUAUCAAAUAAAAUGAUUUAUUUUUGAAUCGUUAUUAUUUGGACUUGGAAGUUUGUUGGCGCAAGUCGACUCUUCUUAAAUGCAUUAGCUGGGGUUUAUAUAGUUGGAUCCUUGGUGUGAUAAUUAUCUACGCCUUGAAGUCCCUGUAGACUCUGCUUCAAAUCGUCUCUACUAUUGAGACAAUAUUUGAAUCAUCUGACCUCAAAUCAGGUAGGACUACCCGCUGAACUUAAGCAUAUCAAUAAGGCGGAGGA